ensembl:lncRNA uncharacterized LOC107688196
UUUCUAAAGUAAUGUAAGCCAACAUGUUUACAGCUACUUUUAAUGUUUUGUGUUUGACUCAGAAUCGUGCGAAUCUCAGCCCUGUUGUGCAGCACUGAUUGCAGUUGCAGUUGUAACAGCAAUAACACUUAUGGCUGGGUUCAUUGUCAUGAAGAAAUGCAAGAACAAUGCCAUCCUUUAGCCAAUACUGUACACUCACAGACAACAUUUGAUUUUUUUAUUGUAACAAUUUUGGUUUAAUUUAUUUUACUUAUGUUCUAUUUUACGUCAUAUGCUUUUCCCUCUUUUUUUAUGACUUUUAAUGGUGAACUUUUAUUAGAAUUGCAGAUAUGCUGUUCCUGCAUAUAUGUGACUCUCAAACAGUUUUCAGCUUCCAGGUUUAAAUGUUCUCAGGGUAGCAUGUUUUCUGACUAUCUAAACUUUAUUAGCUGUUUCUCUGCAGUUUUUCCGUUUGGUAGAUUUGAUAAAGUUCUUGUUUUAUGUCAAAAGAAUGUUCUUGUGUUCAUCGUAAAGAAUGAGUGCUUCUGAAACUUUAGAAAUGUGAGUUGUUAAAAUGGCUCCUAUGGAUAUUUAAGAUAUAAGCUGUUUUGUUUACAAAAAAUGAAUAUAAGUGCUAUUAAUUUGCUCUCUACCUCAUUUGUUCUUAUUAAUCUGCUUUUGGAGCAUUUGUAAGCACUGAUGUUUAAAUUUGUUCAGAGAAUAAGAGUCCAAACGGAUCUUGAGCGUGGAGUGUGACGGGAGGGUUUUACUGUAUGGAAGAUCUGCUUGUUUGAACAGAGAAUAGUGGCUUUACUCCACAGGAAAGGGAAAAAGGAAACGGCUCAGUUUGCAAACACGGUGACGCCUAAAGACCUUUAACUCUGUGAACUGAGCACAGGAGUUCACAGAAUACAGCAGCCCUGCAGAGACACAAACAGCACGUUUACUGUGGGAGCGUCGCUCUAGUGCUUUUAUGGGACAGGAGUUUCUGGAUACAAGCGUCUCUUUCAGGAAGUUAUGAGAGGUGACAUGGAACUACGACUAGAGCGAUUCAUCAGGACUGUUCUGCUUCUGCACGUCUGCUGGCUCUGGAGCGGCCAGUGUUUGUCCGUCCUCUUCACAAACCAGCAGUUGCUGUAUGUAAUCAAAGGCCAGAAUCUGAUCCUACAGGCACAAAUCGAGCUGCUGGGUGGUGAACAUGUUGUUAAAGUGACAUGGGACCACGUUGCAAAGACUUCUGGGACGAGUUCAACAUUGGCUGAGUUUCCUCAUAAAGUCUCAGAUGGGAGAGUAACACUGGAACAACAGGGAGCCACACUGAAGAUCAGAGAUUAUCAAGCAGCAGACGCCGGCGUCUACACGGUCACAGUUACAGACCAGUCAGGACAGAGACGAUCUGCACAGCGAGCCGUUCAAGAGUAUCUGGCGGUGCAUCACGUGUCGGUGAUGGUGAAUGUGUCUCACUCGGUUCUUCACUGUAUGGAGGCGUGGGGAACUGAACCCACAUUCACUUGGCUGCAUGAGAAAGUGGUUGUAACGGAGAAAGUGGGUCGUGUUUCGGCACAUGGGACGUCUCUGUACGUCUCCGGCACCUUCUGCGGACACUUCACCUGCGUGGUGAGCAACAAACUGGGACACAGUUCAGCCACAUACACCGCAGGAGACACAGGCGUGGAUAUAACCGAAGGGAGAGGCUGAGAGAGCCGUGUGAAGAGUCUCUGUGAGCUGAUCUCAGGACACUUUUACUGCGUUACUGACGAGAGCUGAUGGACUGCCAGUCGCUUGACGCUUUCAGCACACCUUUUGAUACUUUAUUGAUCAAUGUAUUAGACUUUUGUUAUUUUAUUAGACUUCCUGGAAAGAUAGUUAUGCAUAUUUCUUUAACCAAGUUAGACUAGCAUCAUCAGGAGGAUUAGUUAAUGCAAUCCUUUCUGAAAUACUUGAUUCUGAUUGGUCAGUUAUGGCAUUCUGACAUUAAUAUGAUGGCCACUAAACUAUUAAUUGACCAUUGUCCCAUAUCAAUAAAUUAACAUUUGACUGAGUAAUUUUUCGUGAUUUAUUUAUUUUUAUAAUCUGCUCAAAUCUUAAAUUUAUUUGGCAAGAAGUCAUGUAAAAAUGGAAAAACUCAUGAUCAAGGAGUCUACACAUAACAAUUUCUUAAUUUUCUGCCCCCAAUUUUGUCCCACAUUUUAGAUUAAUCCGCCCCUAAAUGUCACAUAUAACAGUGACUGGUCACUUUGUCAAUUAGACGGUCUAUUCCGCUCUAAGUUUCCAGUUUUGACCACAAUAAUACAAUUAUUUUUAUUCAAGAAUAAAUUACAACUAAAUAGAAAUAAAAAUUACUACAACUUCAAUUAAAAUUAAAACUGAAAAUAUAAAAAAGCC